rnacentral:rRNA from 1 species
AGAGUUUGAUCAUGGCUCAGGAUGGACGCUAGCGGCAGGCCUAACACAUGCAAGUCGAGGGGUAGUUAUCUUCGGAUAAUGAGACCGGCGCACGGGUGCGUAACGCGUAUGCAAUCUACCUUGUACAGAGGGAUAGCCCAGAGAAAUUUGGAUUAAUACCUCAUAGUAUUUUCGAAUGGCAUCAUUUGAUUAUUAAAGAUUUAUCGGUACAAGAUGAGCAUGCGUCCCAUUAGUUAGUUGGUAAGGUAACGGCUUACCAAGACAAUGAUGGGUAGGGGUCCUGAGAGGGAGAUCCCCCACACUGGUACUGAGACACGGACCAGACUCCUACGGGAGGCAGCAGUGAGGAAUAUUGGACAAUGGGCGCAAGCCUGAUCCAGCCAUGCCGCGUGCAGGAAGACGGUCCUAUGGAUUGUAAACUGCUUUUAUACAGGAAGAAACACCUCUACGUGUAGAGACUUGACGGUACUGUAAGAAUAAGGAUCGGCUAACUCCGUGCCAGCAGCCGCGGUAAUACGGAGGAUCCAAGCGUUAUCCGGAAUCAUUGGGUUUAAAGGGUCCGUAGGCGGCCUUAUAAGUCAGUGGUGAAAUCUCCUAGCUCAACUAGGAAACUGCCAUUGAUACUGUAGGGCUUGAAUUCUUAUGAAGUAACUAGAAUAUGUAGUGUAGCGGUGAAAUGCUUAGAUAUUACAUGGAAUACCAAUUGCGAAGGCAGGUUACUAAUAAGCGAUUGACGCUGAUGGACGAAAGCGUGGGGAGCGAACAGGAUUAGAUACCCUAGUAGUCC